CCAGAAUUCCUAGAUUUUCACAGGUGUAUUUCUCUGGCUACAGAGUAAGUGAGCUUCCCCAGGGGGUUCUGAUGAGGGACCUGUCUUGGUUACUGACCCUGAAAAGCGGUGUUCAGCCAGACCCUUUGGCCUUUGAGGUCUGUUUACUAUGGUUGGAACAAGUGGUCAGGAAGGAACAGUGUAUCAGGUUGUGCUUGCUUUUCUGGAUUUGCUUAAGUGGUUUUUAAAAAUAGAUGUUACGCAAAUAUAACAGAUUAUGCCUAACUUGGGAUAGUGGGAGCCUACUGCACCCCUGGAGAUUGGUGCAUUUCAACCAGUGUCCCAUCUUGUGUGCAGAUGAAGGAAUAGAGAUCUCUUGUCUAAUCUGAAUAUUCGGCAGCACCUGCAGUUUUCCAGGUAGGCCUUGCUGCAGGUCUUCAGGUUGUUCUGUCUGCUUGUUUUUCCCUGUUCAGUUCUUGAUACUAGUCAGACCUGGUCUGUAUCCGAAUCCCCAUGACGCAGAGCCAGUCAGCCUGGAACUGCGCUGUUUGUGUGCUCAGGUCCUGAACCAAGUGUACAGGUACAUGCCCCUUGCAUAUAACCUGCCUCAUUAUUCAGUUCUCCCACAGGUCUGGGCCACUCUUAAGACUGUGACCCUUUGAUUUGGGGCCAAGAUUUCCUUCCUAGCUCUUGCCAUUCUCUCUCCCAGGAGCUAGAUCCUGACCGAAUAGCUGUUAUCUGGGCUUCAACCAGUCCUGUGUGUCAUGAGCUUAUGAAUAUUGUUCAUUCAUUUAUUAUUUGUUGGUUUUUUUUUUUUUUUUUAAUAGCAGCUUCCUUUUUUUUAUUCUUCUUUUUAGGGCUACACCUGCAGCAUAUGCAGUUCUUGAGCUAGGGGUCAAAUCAGAGCUGCAGCUGCCAGCCUAUGCCACAGCCACAGCUGCACCGGAUCCUUAACCCACUGUGCAAGGCCAGGGAUCAAAUCUGCAUCCUCACAGACACUGUGUCGGGUUCUUAACCUGCUGAGCCACAAUGGGAGCUUCCCAUUAUUUAGGGGAACAAAAUGGUGUAACCCUUGUUCUCAGAGAGUUUAGAUUCUAGUGGGGAAGAAAGAUAUUAAGCCAAUAACCAGACAAGUAAAUAUCCAGUUACAAACUGUGAUAAAUCCUAUGAUGGAUGAGAACUAAAUUCUCAGAAGAAGUAGCAGGCAGGAUCUAAUUUGGAUUGGGUGGGGGUGAGGAAAGUUCUCCCAGAGUUAGCCAAGUGAGGACGAUGAGAAAGGUGAGCAAAUGCAGGUGAAAGGUCUCAGAGGUGGCACUGAGCUUGGCCUCUUUAAUGACUUCCACAGUGGCCAGUGAGAUGAGAGCACUGAUGGCCAACCCUGACUGUGUGAGCAUCCAGUGGCUGCCAUAACUAAUCCUUGCAAACAUACAGCCUGCAACAACAGGACUUACUUUCUCAUAGAUCUGGAGGCCACAAGUACAAAAGAAUAUCCCCGGGCUAAAAUCCAGGGCAGUGCUCCUUCCAGAGGCUUGAGGAGAGCCUUGCUGUUCCAGCCGUUCUUUACUGUUACAGCUUUCGGUGGCUGCCCACAUUCCUUGGCUUGUGGCCACGGCACUCCAGAUCUUCAGAUCUCUCUCUGCUCUACCUUCAUGUCACCUUUUCUGCUGUGUUUCUCAAAUCUCCCUCUGCCUCUCUUGUAUAAGGACAACUGUGACUGUAUUUGGAGCCCACCCAAAUAAUGUAGGGGAAUCUUCCUAACUCCAGAUCCUUAAUCAUAUUAGCAAAAUCCUUUUUUUUUUUUUUUCAUAUCAGGAAACAUCUAUAGGUUUCAGGGAUUAGGACCUGAUAUCUUUGGGGGCCAUUAUUCAGCCCAUUACUCUGGAUUGCUUUAGUAAUCCCUGGAGGAACUUUUAUUUUUAUUUUUAAAAUUUUUUUACUUAUUUUUUCGCUUUGUAGGGCCAUACCCCUGGCAUAUAGAAGCUCCCAGGCUAAGGGUCGACUCAAAGCUACAGCUGCAACGCGGAUCCGAGGUGCAACCUACACCACAGCUGAUGGCAACACCAGAUCCUUAACCCCCUGAGCAAGGCCAGGGAUCAAACCCGUAUCCUCAUGGAUGUUAAUCGGGUUCGUUAACUGCUGGGAGCUCCCCUGGAGGAGCUUUUAAAUCUGCAUCGCCCACGCUCCACCUUACAUCACUUAAAUCAGAAUCUCUCUGUGAGGCUGGGGCAUGGAUAUUUUUAAAAGCCUCCCCAGGCGAUUCUGAAACAACUGCUAGACUCUGUGGCAGAUAACGUCUGGCCUAGAGCAUGAUGAAGGAAGAGCAGGUGUAGUAACAGGCAGGAUGUCAUCACAAUUUGGACACUUCUCCUGCUUUUAACCUGAUGGGACCUGUUGGCCAUCAAUGCCGACUGAAGGAAGCCCUCGCUGAAUGGACCUCUUGGGAAGGUUUUGUGGUUUAACUUCACUGGGAGCAUCUUGGCCCUGCUUCCUUCCAUUCCUGCUUCUUCUUUGCCAUCCAUCUGACGCUGAGGUCUUGGAGCACGUGAUGCCUCAGUCUGCCCAAGUUCUAAAGACGGCAUAGAGCUUACAAGUGAAGGGGGCUCAAACGUCGCUCAUACUUUGCAGGCCUCACACAGAUAGAGCUCACACAAAUACAGCUGGGCGCUCCAGAGCUGUAAGCCCAAGUCUGAAGAUACCUUUGUAAAUUUGUAGGAAAAAAACAAAACCAAACAACUAAGGUUUGAACUACAAACAACCUUAGAGGCAGGCCCAGAACUGAGGAAGCAUGUCAGAGCCUCCAGAACUCAUGACUUGUUUUAGCCGUAGAGAGGGGAUAUUUUUCCUUUCUCACUGGACCCACUUAUCUAUGAAGAUGCUGGUGUUUUUCAGUGAAUGUAUUUGGGGAAAAUGGUAAUUGGGUCUAUCAAGAUCCCUGUGUUGAUGUGCAGCUUUGGCCCUAAGGACAAACGUAGACUCGGAACCACAUAGGCUUGUCACCUGGGAGCUACGAGGAUGACCAGGGAAUGUGCUAAGAAUUUGAUUGUCUGAGAACAAGAACCAAUUUAGGGAGUUCCUCAGUAGCUAUUUGCUAGUAGAUCAGUGUUUUCAAAACCCAGUUAGAAAGUCCCAAGCCCCACUCACCCCUGGACCACUAAUAUCAGGGAAGCCAUCUUUGCUUUUACAAAUCACUGAAUUGUCUCUGGGGAGGCAAAGAGGCAAUGAUCUCUUGGGGGCUGCUGUCUUUUUUACGGUCAUCAGAUCUUGUCAUGGGCUCCAGCCACAGGGGAAUGUUGGUAACACCUGGAAAAGGGAGGGUUGUCUCUUUAAGUACUGGGAAUGUUUAACUGGAAAUCCUUUGUGGAUGGGUCCAAGAUCUGUAUAGCCUCUGUCCUUCUGAUGUGGAACGCCUCCCUAGCACAGGGCCCCAAUUGGUCUCCUGCUCUUUGUUGCCAACAACCAUCUCAGCUUGGGCCAGACAUCAUGAAAAGAUCCAGUAACAGCAUGAUGCUUCAUGUGGGGGGUCCUUCCGUGGUCUUCCUCUUUGUAGCUACCCUCUUGUCUCCAGCAUCACUUGCACCCCAUUUUCUCCUAUCACAAUGCAAAUAUGAACUGUGUCUGUUUAUUAGUGGGUUUCCUUCGGAGUACUCUUUCAGUUUAGGGAGGCUGGGGGGGGGCAUUCUUUUCUGAAUUUUUAGUGUUGCAUAUGCUCAAUGCUCAAAGAAAGGUUUGACUUUCUGGUGGGCUCCCUUUCUGAACCUCUUUUUAAAGCUUCCUGUUGGACAUACCCUUUCUUUUCCAAAAUGGCAGUUUCGUGUCCUGUGAGACAGGAAAUGCCUUUUCUCUUGAUUGCCCCUUUUCAGUGGAAAUCUAUCACAAAGGCAAUCACAAAGAAUUCUUUCCUGCUAAGAAGUUGGGUGCUCCAGUCAUACCUGUCUUAUCUAGAAAGUGGUUCAAUUAUUUUCAUCUCUGACAAAAUGAUGAACUUCAGAGGAUUUGCCCAAGGAGAGAGGGUGGAAGGGUUGGCAUGGCUAGCUUCACUACCCUCAUGUGGAGUCAGAAACCUGAAAACAGCCUCGCUCUCAAGCAUGCAUUCCCCUCUUUGUCCGGGGAGUAACGAUGGCUGAGGCGUUGGCAUGCAGAUACUUGCAGAGUGAAAAUGGAUACACUUCCCCAGCUCCUCAUCCCUGGCCUGGAGGACAGCCUGCCAGCCGUGCAUGCAUGUUGGUUUGGCACUGAGACAAAUGUUCCCUGGAGCAUAGACUGAAACCACCAAACUGAUAUCACAGGGGACACCGGCCAAAUCCUGACCUCGCUCUCUGCAGGUGAGAGGCUGUGGAAUUAACCUGUGAUGCUCUCCGGCUCCCGCCUGGUGGGUGGUCUGGAUUUGUUUUCUUUUUCUUUUUUUUUCUUUUUAAUGCCACAUUUGAAUCUCCUUGCUCUCCCCACCCAACUGGUAUCUACCAGCCACAGAGCCACUCUGCCGGUCUUGGCUUGGGAACAGUGGGCAGUGACUUGGCUCCAAGAAAUGGGCAAACCACACGAUUUCUUCUUGCCCCUUGAGAGGGAAGGGCCACUCAUGGGCUGUUCCAGCCUCGAGCCCGGGUGGCAGGGCCCUCGGGCUGGCAUCGCUGGCAUCUGUGGUCGCGGUCUGCUCCUUUUGCGUCCCUCUCUUCCGCAUUUUUCCUCCCACCGUUCCAACUUCUCCCAUCUCCCCCCCGCCUUUUUUGUUUCCAACCCUUAUUUAUUCAGAGCUUCCAAUAUUCUAAGUUUUUCAUGAAUCCAGGGCUUUAAUUUAGCAUGUGGGGUGCUGGCGCUUCCAGCGAGCUGCUUGGGUCAUUAUUUCCAACGUGAAGGAAUAAAGAGGCAGCAGGGUGCAGUGGACAGCAUGGGGGCUGGACGCCAGAAGGCCCCGUGCUAGUCCCUGUCUUGCAUCUAAGCAGCUCUGGAACCCUGGCCGGGCCUCGCCCUGGCUGCCAGGCUCAGUUUCCUCCCCAGAGGGAUGGGGAAUCGGGGCGAGAUGAUUUCUAAGGCUCGUCUCAUUCUGUGAUUCUGUGGAGCUCACUGGCCACGUGAAAUCCACAUUGGGUUGUGCCAGUGUCACUUUCCUUUGUGUUUUGAAAAACUAUAUUGUUACGAGGAUGAAUGAGGAGAUGUGAGCAGAGUCCCUAAGCUCGAUGUCUCCAACGCAGAAGACCAAGGGGAAAACCUUCCUGGAAAUCACUUUCCAGGGGCCAU
rnacentral:lncRNA from 1 species